rnacentral:rRNA from 1 species
AUUGAACGCUGGCGGCAUGCCUUACACAUGCAAGUCGAACGGUAACAGGUCUUCGGAUGCUGACGAGUGGCGAACGGGUGAGUAAUACAUCGGAACGUGCCCAGACGUGGGGGAUAACGAGGCGAAAGCUUUGCUAAUACCGCAUACGAUCUAAGGAUGAAAGCAGGGGACCGCAAGGCCUUGCGCGUUUGGAGCGGCCGAUGGCAGAUUAGGUAGUUGGUGGGAUAAAAGCUUACCAAGCCGACGAUCUGUAGCUGGUCUGAGAGGACGACCAGCCACACUGGGACUGAGACACGGCCCAGACUCCUACGGGAGGCAGCAGUGGGGAAUUUUGGACAAUGGGCGAAAGCCUGAUCCAGCAAUGCCGCGUGCAGGAUGAAGGCCUUCGGGUUGUAAACUGCUUUUGUACGGAAAGAAAAGGCUCUGGCUAAUACCUGGGGCACAUGACGGUACCGUAAGAAUAAGCACCGGCUAACUACGUG